rnacentral:lncRNA from 1 species
GGACGAUUCCAAGGAUCACUGUUGUUGCUAAUUUUUUUUCUUUUAAAAAAUACAGAUAUUUUUAAUAAAAGUAUGUUAAUUAUGUUAACCUGUAAUGGGCUUAUUAUUUCAAAAUCAAUUAACAAUGUAAAUAUUUAAAACUUCUGUGUUAAAAUUUCUAAUAGUAUAAAUAGCAGUAGAUUUAGCCCACUCUAAGGGAGAUGGUUGUGCUUUAGUCAGGAGUAGGCCGAGGCAGCCUUCUGGUGCAGCAUGACUCAGUGGGUUUGGAGGCAGGCACACAACUCCACACAUUAUGUAACCAUGCCAUGUGAGGUGCAUUAGGUGACCACUCAUAUGAGCACGUGCUUGGCUCAAAGCCACUAUUGUCUGUAAAAGGUAAAAUUACCCUGCUGACACUACAUAUGGCUUGCACCCAGAGAGAGAAUAAAGCCAUGUCGAAACCGCCUACUCGAGUGUUUUUCCAGUUACCUGCCACCCACCCACCAACUCCCCUUGGACUUUAGUUUGGGCUAGAACCUGACAAUUGGCAUCACGAACAGGAUCCUAAGGUAAGUGAGCCUUCGGUCCCUGCUGAUUCCAGGUUGGCCAUGUGACCACAACAUGGGUUGUGGUACCCGGUGGUAGCCGUGCUGUGAGGGUGGGCCUGAGUGGAAACCUGGGUGGCAGUAGAUGGGUCCCCCAUGAGCAUGGAGAAGGCGCUGAAGCAGCUGGAAGUGCAGAGCACCAAGAAGGAGAGAGCCUUUGCUGGCAGAGUUGGAUGGGCAUUUUUAACUGUGCUAAGAAAAGUACACACCCAGUCCCUGAGGGAUGCAGACUGGAGGUCUGGCUACACCGAUCUGGAAAAUAAUUAGAGGCUGCCAUGAAUGGGGACCUCCAGGUGCAGGCAGGAUGCCUGGAGGUGUGGCUUCAGAGCUUGGAAAAGGAAUUAGAGGCUACCAUGAAUGCAGGCCUGGGUCCAUCAUCUUGUCUGGAGAUCCCCACUCAGUUUCAUACCAAGGAGGAAGAACCCCUGUUGCGGGCUCACCCGGUGGUCUGACAGAAGGUAGAUCAUGAACAGCCACUGGGGCUCCAAGGGUGGACUCAGGGACUCCCCACCAUAAUGCAACACAUUUCGUAUAUUGCCUGUACCCCAACUGAGUUGCAGGAAUUAGGCAAGCAGUGUUGCCAGUGUCCAGGGGAACCCCUGCCUGCCUGGAUGCUUCGUCUGUGGAACAAGGGAGCAGAUGGUAUCUCCCAUUCCACCUCUGAGAUGGACAAGCUGGCCUCCACCAUGACUCACCCCUCUCUCUGUCAGCGGCUGCAAGUGAGCAGGUGGUUAGUGGCAGCGCAAGGAGACCACACCCUGACUGAGUGGCUACAGGCAGCCAUAUGAACUGUGUGGAAUAAUGCUGGUGAAAUGCCCAAAACUGUGAGUAAAUGGCAGUCAUAUGCCAAUUUGGUGUAAGUCAUUCGGGAGAUGGGUAUGCGGCAGGCUAUGUUUGUCCUGAAUACCUGAGGGCCAGAUGAUAAAUGUUUCACCUCCCACAUGAGGGAUCUCAUGUUGGGUUUGAUGCUCCUGAGCCCCUUUGGCUCCCUAGCUGCUGUCCUCACCCCAUACGUAGGGCACCGCAUACAUGAAGUAACCACUGCCAUGGCGGCUCUCAGGGAAGCAGAAGGCCUUCAGGGGGAUUGGAGGGUCCACACCAUAAAGAAGGGGAAGUUACCCCACCCACAGGGGGCUCCCCCAUAAAAAAAGGGGGCCCCAACGAGUGACACGCUCACAGAUGUGGAUAGAUUUGAUUUUGGCUGGGGUUGACUGAGAGAAAAUUGAUAAGCAGCCCAAUGAAAUACUCCUAACUUUGCGGAGACAGUUGUAUGCAGGGCAGCAAUUCCGGAAAAUGCCCAAAGGGGAGAAAGGCAUUGCUGUGUGACCUGGUCCUACCCAGCUCAGAGACUACUUGCUGCAGCCAGGUGGAAAUGUAGAGCCUUUUCUGUUCAACUAGGGAACUGGCCAAAGGUGUCUGGCUUGGGGGGACACCAGAUGACCAGAGGCCACAUGUGGAAUUGGCAAUCCACUGGUCCCCCACCAAUGUACAGUGGGUGCUGGUGCUGGUAGAUACUGGCAUAGAUUGUAGCCUUGUUUAUGGGAACCCAGUUAAGUUUUUGGGCAAAUCUGCAUAUAUUAAAGGUUACGGAGGCCAGUCAGUGAAAGUGAAACCUGUAUCUCUGUACCUUGGCAUUGGCCACUUGGCUCCUUGCUUAUACACUGUGUAUGUCUCUCCCAUACCUGAAUACAUUCUGGAGGUGGAUAUUUUACAUGGCUUGGAAGCUGUGCCAUCUAUCAUGGAUUUGAUGAACCACUCGACAAUGGAAUUAGGACAGUACCACUAUGUGGUGGACUUGGCCAAUGCAUUCUUCUCAGUUGACCUUGCUCUAGAGAGCCAGGAACAGUUUGCCUUGAUGACAAUGGACUUUCACAGUGUUGCUGCAGGGCUAUGUGCAUAGCUCCACCAUAUGUCAUGGUCUUGUUGCCAUGGAUUUAACAGCCUGAAAAUGUCCAAAGGGAGUCCACUUGUUCCAUUACGUUGAUGAUAUUAUGUUAACCUCUGAUUCUCUUGCAGAUUUAGAAGCAGUGGCACCCCUCUUGUGGCAACAUUUGGCAGCAUGCAGUUGGGCCAUCAACAAAUCCAAGGUCCGAGGGCCUGGAUUACCUGCUAAAUUCUUGGGAGUUAUCUGGUCGGGGCUGAAGUUCCAGGCUGGACCUGAUGCUCCAAACCUUGAAUGAAUGGCCAUGGAAAAGCAGCCCAGCCCAGGUGGAGGCUUUGUUACAUGGGCCACCACCCCUAUUCAGUUGCAGAUACACACCAAGGGUAACCGCCUCUGACCAGGCAGGAAUUGAGGUUGUUGCAGACCUGCGUGGAUUUGCUGCCAGUAGCAGGAGCAGAGGACUAGGCCUUGGAGACGGUGAGGGGGCCACUCCCUCCCUAUCCCCAGGCAUCGGUAAGAUCUGAGACAGACUGCUCUUCCCUUGGAGUGUAUUGCUGACCUUGCCAACUGAAAAUAAACAGCUUCUGAUAGUCUUUACUAACAGAUAAUAGAAAAGAAAAAUUGCCAUCUGCACACCAGGUGCCAGGAGAAGGGUUGAUUAGCUGCAGAAAUGAAACAACACCUGAUCCUGCAGCUGCAGCUGGAGCCCCCGCCUGAUUAAGUUUACACUGGUCCACUGUCAUUUUCCAACACCUAUUUGUCUUCUGCACAAACCAGAUAGGGACACCAUGAUCAACCAGCCAAUGCCAAAGACCUCUGGGGGUCAGACUAUUCUGAGGACUGCUUUGGCUCCACCGUCCACAGUGGCAACCACACCCACUUGGUCUUUUAUGCGGGACAUGGAUGAAGCUGGAAACCAUCAUUCUCAG